rnacentral:rRNA from 1 species
UACGUAGGGUGCAAGCGUUAUCCGGAAUUAUUGGGCGUAAAGAGCUCGUAGGCGGUUUGUCGCGUCUGCUGUGAAAACUGGAGGCUCAACCUCUAGCCUGCAGUGGGUACGGGCAGACUAGAGUGCGGUAGGGGAGAUUGGAAUUCCUGGUGUAGCGGUGGAAUGCGCAGAUAUCAGGAGGAACACCGAUGGCGAAGGCAGAUCUCUGGGCCGUAACUGACGCUGAGGAGCGAAAGCAUGGGGAGCAAACAGG